rnacentral:misc_RNA from 1 species
UCAAACUUGGUCAUUUAGAGGAAGUAAAAGUCGUAACAAGGUAACCGUAGGUGAACCUGCGGUUGGAUCAUUACCGAAAGAUAAAGGCGUCUGACGUUCUUUUGUCGGAUGAUUGCCGAAAGAAAGGCCGGGAAAAUGGGACUUUGUGGCCCUUUCCGGCUUUUUCGUUUAAGAUGUGUCUGCGGCAGAUGCGAUGACGUGUUUACGUCUGCGUCCAUCUUUUCCCAGCAUAAUGGGAUAAAAGGUGUCAGGUUUGAAUCUUUGACAGAGGCCCUCUGGCAUAUGCUGAAGGGUGUCCUUGAUAUCAUCUUGUUGCCGCAGAAGACCGCCCUGAUACUUUGAGGGACGGUCCUAUAUCCUUCUUAGGAAACAGAUUCUCUCUGCCCACCCGGAAUACGGAGAAGCGAGGGAAGAAAUUUGGAGAUUUUGAAAAAUAAAUUCAAACAACUUUUGACAACGGAUCUCUUGGCUCUCGCAUCGAUGAAGAACGCAGC